AAUCUUUAACUCUGCCACUCAGGAACAUUCACUGUCUUCUUGGUAAGCAACUCCAGUGUAGAUGUGGCCUUGUGUUCUAGGUUAUUGUCCUGCUGAAAGGUGAAUUCAUCUCCCAGUGUAGAUGUGUUCUAGGUUAUUGUCCUGCUGAAAGGUGAAUUCAUCUCCCAGUGUAGAUGUGUUCUAGGUUAUUGUCCUGCUGAAAGGUGAAUUCAUCUCCCAGUGUAGAUGUGUUCUAGGUUAUUGUCCUACUGAAAGGUGAAUUCAUCUCCCAGUGUAGAUGUGUUCUAGGUUAUUGUCCUGCUGAAAGGUGAAUUCAUCUCCCAGUGUAGAUGUGUUCUAGGUUAUUGUCCUGCUGAAAGGUGAAUUCAUCUCCCAGUGUAGAUGUGUUCUAGGUUAUUGUCCUGCUGAAAGGUGAAUUCAUCUCCCAGUGUAGAUGUGUUCUAGGUUAUUGUCCUGCUGAAAGGUGAAUUCAUCUCCCAGUGUAGAUGUGUUCUAGGUUAUUGUCCUGCUGAAAGGUGAAUUCAUCUCCCAGUGUAGAUGUGUUCUAGGUUAUUGUCCUGCUGAAAGGUGAAUUCAUCUCCCAGUGUAGAUGUGUUCUAGGUUAUUGUCCUGCUGAAAGGUGAAUUCAUCUCCCAGUGUAGAUGUGUUCUAGGUUAUUGUCCUGCUGAAAGGUGAAUUCAUCUCCCAGUGUAGAUGUGUUCUAGGUUAUUGUCCUGCUGAAAGGUGAAUUCAUCUCCCAGUGUAGAUGUGUUCUAGGUUAUUGUCCUGUUGAAAGGUGAAUUCAUCUCCCAGUGUAGAUGUGUUCUAGGUUAUUGUCCUGCUGAAAGGUGAAUUCAUCUCCCAGUGUAGAUGUGUUGUAGGUUAUUGUCCUGCUGAAAGGUGAAUUCAUCUCCCAGUGUAGAUGUGUUCUAGGUUAUUGUCCUGCUGAAAGGUGAAUUCAUCUCCCAGUGUAGAUGUGUUCUAGGUUAUUGUCCUGCUGAAAGGUGAAUUCAUCUCCCAG